ensembl:snRNA U6 U6 spliceosomal RNA
GUUCUUACUUUGGCAGCACAUAUACUAAAAUUGGAAUGAUGGAGAGAAGAUAAGCUUGGCUCCUACAUAAGGAUAAACAAAUUCGUGAAGCAUUCCACAUUUUU